AAAGUCGUAACAAGGUUUCCGUAGGUGAACCUGCGGAAGGAUCAUUACAGUAUUCUUUUGCCAGCGCUUAACUGCGCGGCGAAAAACCUUACACACAGUGUCUUUUUGAUACAGAACUCUUGCUUUGGUUUGGCCUAGAGAUAGGUUGGGCCAGAGGUUUAACAAAACACAAUUUAAUUAUUUUUACAGUUAGUCAAAUUUUGAAUUAAUCUUCAAAACUUUCAACAACGGAUCUCUUGGUUCUCGCAUCGAUGAAGAACGCAGCGAAAUGCGAUAAGUAAUAUGAAUUGCAGAUUUUCGUGAAUCAUCGAAUCUUUGAACGCACAUUGCGCCCUCUGGUAUUCCAGAGGGCAUGCCUGUUUGAGCGUCAUUUCUCUCUCAAACCCCCGGGUUUGGUAUUGAGUGAUACUCUUAGUCGGACUAGGCGUUUGCUUGAAAAGUAUUGGCAUGGGUAGUACUGGAUAGUGCUGUCGACCUCUCAAUGUAUUAGGUUUAUCCAACUCGUUGAAUGGUGUGGCGGGAUAUUUCUGGUAUUGUUGGCCCGGCCUUACAACAACCAAACAAGUUUGACCUCAAAUCAGGUAGGAAUACCCGCUGAACUUAAGCAUAUCAAUAA
rnacentral:rRNA from 1 species